UUGCCUAUAUUUUAACCCUCAUUAUUAGCUAGAAUUCAUGAAAGCAGUGAACAAGAAUGUCGCAGUAUGAUGCCUCAAUGCUGUGACGGGUUAGCACCUGUUAGUAGUUAGUUAACUUACGCAACCAACUCCCCUCCUCCAUCCGCUCGUCCUUGUCAUCGCGACCCCGCUCCGCAUUUGUGUAGUUCCUAACAAUUCCUUCCACAUAACCCUUAAUGAUUCUCAUUGUGAUUCCACUCCACACUUGUGUAGUUUCUAACAAUUCCUCUGCAUAACCCUCAAUGUUCUUCCACUCUGCACUCCACUGUGGUGCGGUUCCUGAUAUUCUUCCAUUCCAAUCUCUUCUCUAUAAGAAUCCUCUUCAUACAAUCUUUUCUUCUGAUCUCUUUUCUCUUUCUUUCUUCAAUGAAUUUGUAAUCUGUAUUUAGAAUAGUGUUUAGUUCAUUAAUCAGUAGUACACUCAUUACAUUACAAAUUGAUUCUUCUGUGUUUAGAUCUGAGUAUCUUGUUAUCAGCUUUCACAACUGAGUGCAUCAUUUACAGAUCUGAGUGUCUAGUUAUUAAUUUCUACAUUCAAGUGCAUCAUUAUAUUAGA
rnacentral:sRNA from 1 species